rnacentral:rRNA from 1 species
GACGAACCACACAAACGUUAUUCGGAAUUACUGGGCUUAAAGGGUGCGUAGGCGGCGCAGAAAGUAGGGUGUGAAAUCCCUGGGCUCAACCCAGGAACUGCACUCGAAACUUCCGGUCUAGAGUGGUGGAGAGGGAAGUGGAAUUCCUGGUGUAGAGGUGAAAUUCGUAGAUAUCAGGAGGAACACCAGUGGCGAAGGCGGCUUUCUGGACGGUAACUGACGCUGAGACGCGAAAGCGUGGGGAGCAAACAGG